GAUGCAGUGGGGUAGGCAGAAAAGAGGAAUUAAAAGGAAAUUAUUUUGGUUCAUUCUAAAAAGUUUUUUUUUUUUAAAUUAGUUUUCUCUCUGUCUCUUUGGUUUCCCUUCCUUUCCUCCCCAAGCACCCUGUUUAGGAAUUACAGGGCUUGAAUUGGAUUCCAUUGUUUAAUGGCUGGAAGUAGAUGGCUAAGGAGAAUCCAUGAGGGAAUAUUUGAAGUGUAUAUGGUAUUACAAGAAACAAUUCUGCGUGAGUUCAAGAUUGUGGUUCUACAGAGAAAUAGGCUGUGCUUUGCCAGUUUCCUGUUCCCACUGAUCAUUGGCUGGGAACCCAUAAAAAUGGCCAGCAGGAAAUCACCUGCAUCCUCCCUUUGGUUUAUCAAAAACCACUGUGUAAUAUUAAUUCAGUAGCAACAUGGAAGAUACUAAAAAUGGCACUGCCGGGGUUUGGUUCAGAAAAAGGCAAAGGUCUCAAGCAUCACAGACAGGAUGCCUCAAUGCUGCCAUUGCUUAAGACUGUCCACUGUCUACUGUGAUCUAAGAAUAAUUGAAGUUGUGAACUGAAAUGUAUCUGAAAGCAGUCAGCAGGAAGGUUUCGGAAUGAUAGAAUAAUGGGUGAUAGAAAGCAGAAAUGCCAGCAACAACAGGCCGUGAUUCUCACAACAAAUAAAAAUUCAAAAAGUUUUGAGAAGUCAGAAGAAAUGUGAAAGGAAUUAGAGAUCCUAAAAAUAUGUUAGAAAACCGGAAGCUUGAUUUACAGAGGAAUAAAAAUAUUGAGAAAUUACAAGCAGCAGUUACUAAAAGGAGUUCCAUAAUCUUUUCCCAGGCACUUGGAUAAAGUUUUAUGUUUACUAUAACAACAACAACAACAACAAUUAAAAAAAAAUGAAGUUGGUACACACAUUGGACCAUGGAAAAUACACGAGGGUCAGAAUCAGCUGACCUAAGAUGGAUGACAAAUCAGGUCCUGUGAGAUAUCGGCUUCACCCAAUAUUCAACAGUUUCUUGUUAUGUUCAGUUAAACGAUACCCUGUAGUCUGCUCGCCUGUCAAGGAGAUGUGGAAAUGUGCUGGCAUUCCAGUUGAAGACAUCAUUAUGAGUGAGAAAAUGCUCAAGGCCUUUUUUCAAAGUGGGCGCUGAAAGAGAUGCUUUCCUUCUUUAACUCCAGGGGAUGCUAAGAGCUGCACCAGCAGACAGUUCCAAGGGGAGUUGCCCAGUUUAAGAAUACUAUUGACUGCAGAAAUUAAUUGCCAAGAACUGCUAAACAAUCUCGAAAUAGUGUUUAAACUGUCAAAACAGAAAACAUGUAGCUCUACAGGAGAUAAACGCAACACAACGGAGGAGACCUCUGGACAAGAACUUUGCUCACAAUCAGCAAAGGAAUUUGGAGACAUCAUCUUUUUUCCUCCAUCCAUGCUUUCCCAAGCAUAAAAUUGACAACAGGAGCUGAAUUCAGGCUGCAGAUUGGAUGAUGUGGUACAACUGAUGCGUAGGCAAAACUUGAAAUGAGCAUGUUUGAAAUCCUGAAGCUGUGGGGUCUAUGGUCCGCAGCUCCUCCUCCCAAGCACCAUAGAAGAACUGAAUUGAUAGGGCUUGUCCUCUGCUACUGAUAACCAAGAUUUGAUCCAUAAAAGUUGGCAGCUUUGUGAGCAUUAGGAAAGGAGCAGUUUUACUUUAACUCUAGCCAUUGAAUCUGAAGAGUAAUUGCCAGCCUGGAAAGAUUGGUCAAUCUAAUAAAAGAUGCUGCAGAUUGGUUGAACAACAUACAGUAUUAAUUACACUUAUCCUGAUUUAUAAUUGGAUAAUUCCUCAAGCCAUCCAUACUUUUCUAAGAAUGCUGUCUUGUGCAUCCUGGUUUCCUGGGAAGGUUAGACAUUUCUUAGGGAAGAAAAGAAGGACACACUGGAGCAUAAUCAAAAUACAGAGAUAUUAGAAACAGUUUCUAUGUAUGGUGGCACCCAAAGCCAGAACAUUCAAGAAAUAAAAGUGCACUGAAUAAUCAUUGGCUCCUGAGGCUUAUAUUGUGACUGCAGAAGACCUUUUUCAUUUUGAAGAAUGCUGUUCGAGCUUUCUCUAUCCUUGUCUUUACUUCAGUGGUCGUGUCACAGCUUUCAUGUAAAUUAGAACUGAGAUAUCAUCCUGUUUUGAUACAGAAAUAAAUAUGUUUCAGUUUGCAAAUGAAGAACAUGAUUAAUAUGAUGCUGAAACAAAAUAGUGCACUAUAUGUGUCCUUAGAAUACAGCUCUUAUUAUAUUCAACUUGCUAUCCAGUGACAUCAUUGUUUUAAAUGAUUGGUAUUAUAUUCAGGAAAUAACAAAUUGGAAGAGCUGAGUUUUUAUCUGAAACACAUCUAAGUCCCAACAAUCCAAGUCACCAGCUCUCUGCAAGGAGUAUAAAUCCUUCCAUUCCACACCAUCCAGUCAGAGCUGAAGAAGCUUCUUGGAUGAGAAGCGAAACUUCUUCAAAGAAAAACCAGAAAGUCGAAUUGCCUCUUGAAAAAGCACCGUUGGGACAACCAUGACCUGGAUGACUGAGAAUCUCCAUAGACAAACACAUCUAAGGAAUUAAAAUAUUAUAAGUAUAAAACUAUAAGAGGAAUAACUCAUAAUAAAUAGUUUUUAUCCAAAAUAAGUGUCAAACUUAAGUUGGGGUUGAAGGCCUUGUUAAAUAGGGUUGCACAUUGUGCUUUAGAACACUGCAUUCUAGUAUCCUUCCACACAGAGAACUGUCUAUAUAUAAGUAUAUACAAUGAUUUGUUUUAAAAAAGAUUAAAAGAUUAUUGCAUGGCAAAUGAAAUUUUAUGUUCUAGUUCCAAAUCCAGUAUUGACCUAUCAUUCUAAUUCUGCCAGAAAAACAAUAGUAAAAUAGUAAUUAUUUAUUCUAUAGCUAUAAUUCAGGGAAUGUAGACAAAGAAGCUUAUUCAUCAUAUUUUGUACAGUUGUCCCGAUUUAUGGAAAAAACUCCAUUAUACAGCAUAGUGUGCUCCAAUAACGUACAAGGCAGGAAAGGUGGGUGGACUCUACCCUUCAAAUUAAAAAGUGAAUUUCAGAUGGUAAAUCUAACAAGAAUGCAUGUAGUGGAAAUACAACUGCUUGUUUUCUUAUCUUUUUUAGUGUCUGGAAUGAACUCAGAUAUAAACAGAUGAACCCUUAUAUAUAGUAUGAACAUCCUUUAAAAUAAGGUUUUAUUAUUUUUAGCUUCCCCUACCUAGAAAUUUCUUUAUAAUAUUUACAUAAAAAGGGAGUAGCUUUCCUUUCAAAUCCAAAUUUACCCUACAUAAAAUAUUCUCAUUUUCACACAUACAUUAUAUAAGCAAAAGGUCUUAGUUCUUUACAUCCCACAAGAUAAUAAACUAAUAUCAAAUGUGCAAACUCUUUCUGGGAGCAGAUCUUAUGUGUUGGGAAUUACCACAUAUAAUCAAAUACCGGAUGACUCAUGUUUCCUGGCUUUAACUUAAGGAAAAAGCAUACAUUACUAUAUGUCAAUCUGCUCAAGUAAAUUUUAUACAGAUUAAGUUAAAUUAUGUGGCAUAAUUUGUUUUAUGUAACUGUGGAGAUAUUUGAAAUCAAGACAUCUGUCAAAAAGAUAUUUUAAGGAUACAAUGACUUGGAUAAGACAGCGUACAAUUUUACAUGACUACAUUGUGGUCUCCCUUUUCAUUCUGCCUUCUAGGUCACAAGUUCACCAAAAAUAAAAUGAAAUAUUUCAAUUCAAAUAGUGUUGCUGCUCAAUUCUAAUCAAGGACUUACAAGUACAACAAUUCAUUUAGUGAUGGUUCCAAGUUACAACUACACUGAAAAAUGUGACGUAUGACUGCUUUUCACAGUUACAAUCUUUGCAGCAUCCCCAUGAUCAAGUGAUCAAAAUUCAAAUGCUUGGCAACUGAUUCAUAUUUAUGACCGUUGCUGGGUCCCAAAAUCAUGUGAUCACCUUUUGGGACCUUCUGACAAGUAAAGUCAAUAGGGAAGCCAGAUUCACUUAACAACCAGGUUACUAAUUUAUGAACUGCAGUGAUUCACUUAACAAUGGUGGCAAAAAAGGCAAAAAGGUAAAAGGGGGCAAAACUCACUUAACAAAUGUCUCACUUAACAACAGAAAUUUUGGGCUCAAUUGUGGUUGGAAGUCGAGGACUACCUGUAAUUGUAUUGUAAAUUGUGUAACUUUUCCACUGUUCCUUUCUUAGGUUCCUAAUAUUUGCUUCAUCUUGAGAGCAAAAGAAAGUAAGCAAAAGAAAGCACUCAAGACAAUGAACACAAUGCUCCACUCUUCCUCAUUUUAUCAUCAAAAUGACCUCCCCCUAAGAUACUUUAAACUAAGAGAGAUAAGUAUUGCUAUCAUCUAUGUCACCUAACAAGCACAUUCUGUUGUCUCAACAUUUCAUUUAGUGGAAUCAAACUUGAAGAACAAAUAAAGAUAUCAGACAUGAAGUAUAGCUAAAAGGCAGUGAUGAAAGAACAGCAAGACUAUUGCAUCUUUUCAGCUUUGGAUUCAGUGAGACUAUAAAUGACAAGUGCUCUGCUCUGAACAUUUAUUUCUGUAAUUUAAGAUAACAGAAUGUAAAAAAAAGUAUGUCUGAUUCAGUGGUCAUAUAUAUGCUUUCCAAAAUGUAUACACUCCAUUGAAUAAGAUGUUAUUGUUAGUUAAUGUUGCUAUUUAAUGACUUGUCCAAUUGCAAAUGAAAUACAGUUGUUUACAAUAUCAGGAUCUUAAUCUUGGCCAGUGAGGAAUUAACAAUGCAUUACUUGAAAUAGGAAAUGAACUGGGAGUUUCUCAAUGGAACACAGAAUCAUCCAUGAACUAUUGAUAUAAGUCAAAUAAAACAAAAAUAACAAUAUGAAAACGGUAAUAAACAUACAUCAUUUGGUCUUAUAUUAUAUUUCACUCCAUUAUACGGAAUGCUGGAUCUUGAAUAAGAUCUUGCCUGAUUUGCAAAUCAGAUCUUGCCUGAUUUGUAGACCAAUACAAAUCCACAAAAAAGCUGCUGAAUAUUUCAAAUUCUUUUAUAGUUAUGAUUUCAUGUUUUUCUAUUAAAUAAGUUUUCAUCACAAAAGAUGAAUAAAUAUGCCAAAAAACAAAGGAGCAAAUAUAUUUAUGUUUAAGAAAGUUUGCAGUACAUUGCAGAAAGUUUUAAAUGACAUUGCUUUUAUAAUCUUACAAUAAAAGCUGGGGAAACACUAGAAUCCUUGAAAGAUUUGCCAAAUAUAUGAAAAUUAAAAUGACAAAAAUAACAGUCAAUUGUAUUAAAUAUCAAGUGGUUAUAUGUUUAUUUAAAAAAAACCCAGUUUUCAAGGCAAUUCAUUUGCAGUUCAGGCAUGCAUUUAUGUAUGUAUAUAUGUAUUGGGAUGAAAUUCAGCUGGUUCUAUCUGAAUCGGGUGAACUGGUAGCGGCGGCUGCGGGAGACUCUGCCUACCCAUGCGGACAUCAUGACACUGCUUUUUUGCAAUGAUUUUAAGACUCUGCACAUGCGCAGAAGGCUUUGAGCAUGUGCAGAUGAUGGCAAGCACACAUUUGCAAACCGGUAGAGAAGGUAAGUGAAUUUCACUUUGUUUGAACUGCAAAUGAAAAUUCAAAAGCUAUGUUUAUCAGGACAAUCAACGAAAGCAAAUCAGAAUCCACAGAAAUACUUGUCACAUAGUAAAGACUAUUUUUGCAUCACUUUCAGUAAUCCUACAAUACAGAUAUUGUAUUGUAUACAAUAUUUAACAUGUCUUCUUCUGAAUAUGUUGGAGUAUCAUUUCUACAAUUCCCAACCAACAUGGAACGGUGUUGCCUGAUUUACAAUUUAUCACAGUUUUAACAGCAAUCGUUGAGAUUUUUUUUGAAAGUACAAACUUCUUAACUAUGCAAGUUUAUGAUCCCAGCAAAAGGUGGCAUUUCUCAUUAACACACAUUUUUAGUAGUAAAACAAUUUAUUACUUAAUAGAUUGUAACUGAAUUUUAUUAUUAUUGUUUUAAUUUACUUUCUUAAUCUUAUUGCUUUCUUAGCCAUUUUGAGGGCACUUUUUAUAGUUGCGAAUAGGGAUAUAAAUGAUCACACAAAGCAAAAGCAAAAGUAAAAAACAAAAGCCAAGAUAUUGUACCACUUUUUCCUGACUAGACUUAUUCCAACUGUUAUCUUCAAAAUGUUAUCUUAGGGCAUCGGUAUACAUUUCCUAUUAUUCUGUAGCAGAAGAGGAAGAUCUGUUUUAAGUCUGAUGAACUCUGUUUGGAGUUCCUGUCUUGAACUUGAAAGGGUUUGGAUUUGAAAUGUUUUAUACACCAUUACCACCUUGUCUUUCUAAGUGUUGGGUAAAAGGGAAAACGAUCCUUGGUUUCUUUGCAGAUAUAAUUACUUUAGAGCAUGGUUUUCUGCAAAAUUCUUGCUUAAAAACUGUAAAAGACUGUACACAAGCACACAUGCUUUGCUUAGUUACAGAAUAACUAACAGAUGCAAGCCGAAAUAAACUGUGGCCAAACAUGCACAACUGACUCUGUGUUAACCCACAAUCCACCUACACAGCCACAGCAUCUCCUGCCAAUUAUUUGACUCAAGGUUUUAAUAAUCACUUUUCCCUUGAAAUGAGCAGGAUUUGCAGAUAAUUAUGCAGCGCAUGCAUAUUAUCACAUUCACUGUUGUACUUAUAUUUUGGGGCUCUCAUAACAUAUGUGUGAGAUUGCCAGUGUUUGCAUAUGAAUGCUGAUGUAUUCUAAGUCUGGGAUUUGUAUUUUAAUAAAUAGUAACAAGAGUCUAAAUUUACUCAUCAUAGAAAGAAAAAAAAUCCUUCCCAAUUAAAAAGUAUUCCUAUCUAAACCAA